CUUCUGGAAUGAUUUGAUAUUACUCUGUAUAGGCAGAGGCCUGAAGCCUUCUGAUAUGGGCAUCAGACACAACACAUGAGCAGGUGAAGAUAUGACACUUCAUUUCCCUUUCAAAGUACAAAUCUAAAGGAAAUUCUUCAGCCAUAAGCAAUGUGGCUUUGAGAAGUUUCAGUUUGCAUCCUUUUACUGAAGAUCAAGUACUCAGAUCACAUACUUUGAAUGUGUUUGAUUGUCUUAGCUGCCUUUUGAAUUUAGGGCUUCUAGAGAAGUUUUCUCAUGUGGGUGGCAUGGUUUUAUUCUACACAGCAUACAAGGGUUUGGUGUUUGUGUUCCAUGUGACUUAAAAUUCAGCAGAACUUCCUCAGCAGUAUAUUUUACUCUUCUGCCAGCUGUAGGGAUUAUUUCUUAUUUGCAUUAUUAUAUGCAAACAGAACAUUAAUAUUUGAAACAUGUUUUUUGCAAAUUAUUGAUAUUAUUGAAAUGUCAUCUUUUUAAACGAGCUUUACUUAAGAAUCUGUCUACAUUUUUUUAAAUGCAAGUUUCUGAUUUUUUUUAACUUUGAAGGUUAGAAUAAGAGUCAAUUGAGUCAUCUAAGAUCUUAGAAACAACUAUUAUAAGAUGUGAAUAAUUUCAUCUUCUCUGUUGGAGCCCCAUGAAUUUAUACAGCUGACUGCAGUCUCAGGGAAGCUAACACUUCAGCAUAGCGUGGUGCAGAGCAAUGUAGAAAUCCCUGCUUUGUAUCCAAAAUCAGGGUAUCCUUUGGUUAUUCCUGGGUUAGUGAGUGCUCUUUCUUCAUAUGCAUGAUACACCAGUGGUACAGCUAGGCUGCUUUCCCUUCUGCAGCAAGGUAAUUCAGGACAAAUUCAGGGGUCUUCUGUGGCACAAAACAGCCAUUCUCAUGGCUGGCACAUUUUGUUCCAUUUCUGUGUCUGGUUGGUACAGUCUGUGUGGGGUUCUUUUUAACUUACUCUUUGCCUGCUUUUAUAUAGAUAAGUAAAAAGUUACAAAAUAUACUUUUUGUUCUGUGUGCAGUUUGCACAUGCACUGAGGGAGCAGGAGGCUCCAGAUGAACACACUGAAGUGUGCUCAGCCUGGACACCUGAGCAGCACCUGAAGCUUGAGGACUACUGGCAUAGACUGUGGACUCAUACCUUUACUGGUACAUUCUAUUACCAGGCUACCUAAUGAUAAAUCCAGAUCAGAACUUAGCAUUUUCCUGACUUAAGCCUGCUGAGGAAUACUGCUAUAUGUGAGUGGGGUAUUCUUGUUUUUCUGCUGUGAGAGUUAAAAAAAAUUCGUCAUUGUGUAAACACUGUGAAAGAAAAAUUAGCUAUCCCAUCUGCUUUCCUCUGACUAACAUUUCUUCCAUCACAUGUUUAACACUAAGCCUCUCUGAUGGAAUUAAAAAUAGAUGGCUACAGAGGAGCCCACAUCUAUUAAUUGACAUUCAGUCUCUGAAACUUACAACCAUAAAAUUACUGGAGUAACAGACCCAACCAGGCUUUUAUAUGAGUGAGAUUUUCGGUAGAGGCACCAAUUGCACUCUUCAGUAUUUUUCCAUUUUGGCAGAAUUCUGUUAGGAAGUUCAAAUAUAAAAAUAAAUUUAUGAGUCUUAGAAAAACUGGAAAAGAGGAAAGGGUUAAUUUUAAUCCCUCAGGAAAGUGAAAAGCAGAAGGGUUCAUUUUUUCUGAGUUUCUUCAUCAUUGCAAUAUCUGAUCACCUUGGAGUUACUGUUACAAUGACAGUGAAUAAUUGACCUGUUUGUUUGGCAGCGUGAUACAAAAGUGGAAAAGGAAAACCAUUGCACUCUGAGCCUGUCACAGCCUCAAGGGUUAUCUGGCUUGUUGGGAUCACAGCUACUACAAAUCUUGACUUGUAGUCUUGUAGUGGAAAUGCUUUUAGUAAUUAAGACUGAAAUAAAAGAGAGAUGAUCUUUCAGGCUCAUAGUGGGGGACAGGACACAGGCAGCUUUAAUGCUUGAGUGAUAACUAAACUUGCACUGGAAUGUCAUGCAUAUAAUUUUUUUUUAAUUAACAAUUCAGUAGUUUCUAGCAGCAUGUCAAGUGCAUGGAAACUCUUGAACAGCAGACCCAAACUAUGGGCGUAGUUUUAUGAUUCUGUGGAACUGAAGAAGCUGCAUAACCACAUAAACUCACUUAAGCAAAUUUGCAUUUAAAAUGUUCUAUUUUCAGUUUUACUGAGAUGAUGGUCGACACAGAGUAUGUUUGCAAAACAAAUUGACAUGAGAUCAUAACUAUGAUUCCUUAAAAUUCCCAUAUUAUUGUAGAAGCACUGCAGCAUUUCUUUCACUAUAAACUCUUGAACUACUCAGUAUCACAUGAUACUGAGGUUGCAAAAUGUAUUGGAUUUCUUUUUUCAUAUAGAUUCUUAUCGUUAAACCCAUCAUUUUGAGACUGAUGAAUGAGUAAAACAAUAAAGCUGUCAUCAAAAGAGGGAGAACCGUUGACAAAAAAAGUAGGAUUCUGAGCUAAAAAAGAGAAUUAUUCUGCUGAGUAUGGUUUUCCAUGACAGUCAUAGCUGAGAUUAUCAAAGGAAUGCAUGUAUUGAUAUAAUGAUGUAUCUUUGUUCCACAACUAACAUUGUGUUAAUGAUUAAAACCACUGCCCUUCUGACUCAUAUAUAAUUAACCAUGUCUUCUGCCAGUGUUCCUUUGAUGCACGCAAGUACAGAAGUCAAGCUAU